rnacentral:lncRNA from 1 species
GUUUGAGUCAAGAAAAUCUCCAAGGACCGUUUUGGCUCAAAAAUUCUAAUAUUCUACUUAGGUAGCAGUCUAAGUCAUGAGAGAAAGGUCUCACGUGCUUUCUUUGACGCUAAUAAUAGAAUGCUAGUAACACAGCUGAGGAAGUCAUUGUGCAAAGUCAGGUCUCUCCAAACUGAGGUCAGAAGAGCUAACUGGGAGACAGACAUUUGUGUCCACAGAUUAAUUAGACAUUCAUCAUAACUGCCUGCGUGGAUGUGGGUGAAGCUACGCAUGGUGCCAAGGGAAGCCUGUGCUGCUAGGAAGUACCGCGGAAUUGUAAGCAAAGCUUCAAAAUGAAAAGGAGAAAAUCAUCUGGAUGACAUUAAAGAACAACGGGCACAGAGCCCCGAGAAGUGCCUGCCACACGACCAGCCAGAGGGAAUGUGCCCCUUGAAGCAGAGGAAUGUUCCCGCUCCAGUGAGUUCUGAGAAUUGUGGCAUGUGGGACGCUGCCUCAGUGUGGUCCGACGAGCAGUGCCAUGUCCGCGCCCAGGAUUCGAACCGACGAAACACUGGGCCGCCUGCAGCGGAGCGCGCGAACCCAACCACUCGGCCACGGGGCCAGCCCCUCUAAUGACCUCAUCUUAACGAAUGACAUCUGCGGUGACCCUAUUUCCAAAUACGGGCACAUUCUGAAGUUCUGGAGAUUGGGUCUUCAACAUAUGAGUUUUGGGUGGACAAUUCAACCCAUAACGACUCCCCUUUCCCCUCCUUCUUCCGACUUGCU